GAGGAAGUAAAAGUCGUAACAAGGUUUCCGUAGGUGAACCUGCGGAAGGAUCAUUAACGAAUUGCGUUCGAGGUUGUUGCUGGCUUCCCCCAAGAAGCAUGUGCACACCUUGUAAUCCAUUUCAACCUCACUCGYGCACUUCAGAGGACCGUCAGGUUCUCUUUUAUUACACAAACCUUUAUUAUUGUCCAUGUAGAACGUGUUUAUUAAACAUAAUACAACUUUCAACAACGGAUCUCUUGGCUCUCGCAUCGAUGAAGAACGCAGCGAAAUGCGAUAAGUAAUGUGAAUUGCAGAAUUCAGUGAAUCAUCGAAUCUUUGAACGCACCUUGCGCUCCUUGGUAUUCCGAGGAGCAUGCCUGUUUGAGUGUCGUGUAAUUCUCAAUCCCGUUUGGUUUUGAAUCAGACGUGGCUUGGAUUUGGGAGCUUGCUGGUACCCUGCAUUGUGGGGUUCGGCUCUCCUUGAAUGCAUUAGCUCGGUCACGUUAGUUGCCCGACGGUUCACGGUGUGAUAGUCUAACUUCAUCGCCGUUGUGACCGCCUCGGUGCCUGUGCCUGCCGGCUUCUAAUCUGCUGUGUCUCUUUAGAUGCGCAUACACUUUGACAAUUGACCUCAAAUCAGGUAGGACUACCCGCUGAACUUAAGCAUAUC
rnacentral:rRNA from 1 species